ACUGCAUCGCGGGACCCCUCGAGCGCCGCGGCCCGCGCCCCACUCUCUCCGCGUGCCCAGGGGCCCGGCAACCCCCGCGCGCCCCAGGGGUCUCCCAAGAAACCCCGCGCGUCCCAGGCCGCCCUGCGCGUCCCAAACCUCGACCCAGAACCCCUCACGAGCCCUAGGCCGCGUCCCAGGACACCCCGCGCGUCGGCCCUCGGGCGCCGCUGACUAGAACGCCAGCACCCUCGCGCCCCGGCUGUGGCGGGAAAAGCCCGCGCCGCCAGCCUGCCCUCAGUCCCGCGCUUCUGGCCCCGCUCACUUGACGAGUAGCGCGGGUCCGUGUUGGCGCCGUACCAGCCGGUGGCCGCGGCCGCCGCGCCGCCCCGCAUGCCGUCCGUGUAGGCGGGCAGCUCACCCAUGUUGCCCAGGCCGCCGUUGCAGUAGCUGCCCAUUGCGCUGUGCGGGAACUGCGAGACGCCGGGAGGCAUGUGGUCUCCUCGAUGGGGCUCAGGAUGUCGGACACAGAGAAGGGCGUCGUGUGCUUGGGGCUCAACGACAUGGCUCGGCGGACAGCCAGGCAACCUAACGGACACUUCCAAAUUAGCUCAAAGUAUCCAAAUCUAAAGAAGAGGGACAACACACACAGAUACUGGCUUACAGAGAUGCUGGCUUGUAAGUAUGCUGUUUCUACUCUCAGGCUAGAAACUGAACAAGAUAAAGUGUAUUUGCUAAAAACGUCUCAUAUUUAAUUUGCACCUUCAUUACCUCUAUCUUUUCUUUGUCCCCAUUCCCAGAAUCUGACUUACAGUUUAUUCUUCUGUCACUACUCUACUAUGAGAGAGGGAGGGAAAGAGAAAGAGACAGAGGGAGGGUAGGGGAAGGGAGAGAGGGGGAGGGAGGAAAAGAGGGAGGGAGGGGAAGAGAGAGAGAGAGAGAGAGAGAGAGAGAGAGAGAGAGAGAGAGAGAGAGAGUUCAAGUAUGUUUUUUGUAAUGGAUCUUUUUGGUGGUGUUGGGAAAAUAACCUGUUUAAGGGGUAUCAACAUUGAUGUGGAUGCAGAAAGAAGGUUAAAACAGCAGCUCAUCUUGAAAAAUGCAAACCCAUAAGCUAAUUUUUUUUAAAAAAAGUGUUGUCUCUUGGUAUACAAAUGUUCCUGCAUAACAAAGAACUUAAACUUUUUGAACUUACAGAAAGUGCCGAGCAAGACAAAAGACAAAGAAGUGUGCAGGCACCAGUAAAACUGGAAAACAUGGGGAUGAGAGGGAAACAAAGACACGUUUUAAAAGUUUUCCUGGAAACUGGAAAUGUUUCUUCUGCAAGAUUUUAUUGUGUCUAAAAACCAAAGAGUAACUACCAAAGUUUAACCUGGCAGCACGUGCCUUGAAGAUCUGAGCAGUUCAGCAUUAUCUUUUUCUUGGUUUCCUGUGGUUUGAAUGUCCUUGGUGGUUUUGUCUUAUUAUUUUAAUCAACAACUGUGUUCAUUUCAGUGUACUUUUGCAAAGAAUCUGCCUUUUGUAGGGAGAAAAAGACCUAUGAUCACUCGUGGAAAGAAAAGGACAACCAGAGUAGUGGUUAAUAUUUUAAAACACUGUGAGACAAAAUGCCAGCUUCUAGCAGUUGUUUACAGACAUCAGUUACUGCCUUAACAAGGUUAGUAUUGCUACAGUCUGACAUAAUGCUACUUUUACAGGUCUUUCCUGAACUUGAGACACUUGAGCUAGGUCACUUAUGCUGGAACUGCCUACUUAUAUUUCUUGAACUAAUGAUAUACAAAGAAGCCUUUACGGGGGAGGGCACUCAAAUGCUGGGAUCCUUUUACAGUGUGGGUUUUAAACUUUGUUUUGCUUUAAAUUGUAUUCUUUACUACUUACUAGAUUAAAAGCAACAGAAAGUAAUCUUAAACUUUAAACAAAGAUAAGUAUAGUUUUCAUAAUAUCUGUGAAUAUGAAAGUCUCUUGCAAGUCAUUUUAUGUUUCAAGUUUGGACACAUUUAAAAAUGAAACAAUUAUCAUAAACUUCAUGUUGAUGAGCUAUCCAAGCCAGAAAAAAUAGUUAUAGUUCUUUCAGAUGAUUUUGUUUUCAAGUUACACAUUUUAUCUUGUGACAUUUUAUUUGUAAAACUUCAGUGUGACAAUUUUAUAAGUGUUUAUACUAUAUUUUAUUCAGUUUAUCAGUGCACUCAGAUCUGGAGGUUUCCUACUAUAAGGUGAAAAUAUAAAACAAAACAGAAUUUCUGCCAAAAUUCACUUUCUGACUGCUUAGGAACAUCAUAGGCCAAGGAGAAUUCCUCUCCUGGACAUGAAAUGUUCUGAAAGGAAAAAAAAAUCUUAAAAUCUUCCACAUUUUCUUUUAUCAGUUAUUUGCAUCUUACCCUAGAAAUUUGACAUCUUUAAAAUGUUGUUAUUUGGAUGUGUGUAGAUGAGUUUGAUAAUAGACUCUGGAGAAUGUAUACAUGUACAUCUAAUGAUAAAAUAGUAUGAUACUCUGUUGAAGAUUUCCAUCAAACUCAUUUCAUCCAAUUAUUCUCUGCCCAAAUUGUGAAUGGAAGUUUCUAGUUAGUGAUUGUUAAACACCGUUGACUAUGUGUUGUGAAAAUGUAUUUCUCAGGAAUGCUUUCUUGUUAUUCCCUUCCCUUCUCUUAGCACUUAGCAGAAAGAAAGGAAAGAAAGAAACUCUUAAAGAGAAUACAGUAGUGAAAAGAGAUGGUUCUCCCUCUCCUACUCUAGUUUCCUUUCCCAUUUCCUCUCCUCACAACACUUGACAUUGUAUUCUGCUAGGAUUGGCUCCUGGUCUUGAAGUACAAUGCUACUUUACAUACAGGGGACAGCAUGGAUUUGGUUUUUUCCGUGCCUUGACUGUUUUCCAUAGUUCAGAUUUUUGUAGUUUCACACAUCACACAACACUGGAAACUUACUAAAACAGCUUAUAGCAGAAAAAGAAAAUUUUCCUAGACAAAAAGAUUCAGUAGGCUCAUCCCCCUCCUUUUUUUUAAAACAAAAAUUGACAUUUAUUGAAAAUCUCUGAUAUAUUAGUUAACUUUAGAAACAAAAAUUCCUGGCAAGAAGCUAAACUAAACUAAAAUACUAAAAUCAGAAGAAAGAGCCUUCCUUGUAAUUGGGAUUUACUGUUGUCAUGCAGCUCAGCCAGAGGGGCCUGGGAAAAGGGGAGUAACCUUGUGACAGACCCCCCUUUGAAUUAGAGUUCCAGCUAGAACCAAGAGGGAGAUUUUGUCUUUCUAUGGUGGCACAUAGAUUGUCACUAGCUCCUGAAUUUCUGCAUCAGGGUGACUGUUCUUGAAAAUAUUACUCUUCUGAAUAAUCAAGAAUAUAAGUGCUGUUUAGAAAUGAGACUUUUGCUGUACUUAGAAAUUGUUUGAAAUAGUUGUAAACUUAUUUGAUUAGUAAAAUUCUCAUGUUGGAGAAGUAGCUGUAAUAUAACAAUUGUGACCUUUUUUUAAUUGGAAAGAAAUAAAGAAUCAUGUCAAUAGCACUAGUUUUGUGCAGCAAAAUUUGAAUGUAUAAACAAAAUGCUAAGGAGACAAAA